UGCAGAUGAUGUGAAGAAUAUUUGCUAUCUGAAUUAUCAGUGUAGACACCCCACCAAGAUCACUGAUGCA